rnacentral:tRNA from 2 species
GGCCCCAUCGUCUAGCCUGGUCAGGACACCUGCUUCUCAGGCAGGGAACACCGGUUCAAAUCCGGUUGGGGCUA